rnacentral:rRNA from 1 species
UACGGGGGGAGCAAGCGUUGUUCGGAUUUACUGGGCGUAAAGGGCGCGUAGGCGGCCACCGCAAGUCGGUUGUGAAAUCUCCGAGCUUAACUCGGAAAGGUCAACUGAUACUGUGCGGCUAGAGUGCGGAAGGGGCAACUGGAAUUCUUGGUGUAGCGGUGAAAUGCGUAGAUAUCAAGAGGAACACCUGCGGCGAAGGCGGGUUGCUGGGCCGACACUGACGCUGAGGCGCGAAAGCCAGGGGAGCGAACGGG